GAUGAACGCUGGCGGCGUGCCUAAUACAUGCAAGUCGAGCGAACGGACGAGAAGCUUGCUUCUCUGAUGUUAGCGGCGGACGGGUGAGUAACACGUGGAUAACCUACCUAUAAGACUGGGAUAACUUCGGGAAACCGGAGCUAAUACCGGAUGAUAUUUUGAACCGCAUGGUUCAAAAGUGAAAGACGGUCUUGCUGUCACUUAUAGAUGGAUCCGCGCUGCAUUAGCUAGUUGGUAAGGUAACGGCUUACCAAGGCAACGAUGCAUAGCCGACCUGAGAGGGUGCUCUGCCACACUGGAACUGAGACACGGUCCAGACUCCUACGGGAGGCAGCAGUAGGGAAUCUUCCGCAAUGGGCGAAAGCCUGACGGAGCAACGCCGCGUGAGUGAUGAAGGUCUUCGGAUCGUAAAACUCUGUUAUUAGGGAAGAACAUAUGUGUAAGUAACUGUGCACAUCUUGACGGUACCUAAUCAGAAAGCCACGGCGAACGACGUGC
rnacentral:rRNA from 1 species